CUCCUGUAAGUAUUUUACUUUCAGAUUCCAAGUGACUAUUUAUUUUUACAGUGUGAGGCAAACACAACAGUAUGAAACGUCAUUGGGAGCUGUGUUUUCUGUUGAUUCUACUAGAGAAGAAGAGAGUCUGUAAUCAUGGAGAAUAGACCCAGGAGUGUAACUGGCUCUGAGUCCUCAGAGACAGUGAAUCCUCAAGCACCAGCUGGUAACACUGCAUCGCC